rnacentral:lncRNA from 1 species
CGAGUACCUCGAUCUGCCAAGGAGAGGAGCCGGAGGCGCGGAACACCCUGAACCCGGAAGCAGAAAUACUGGCGAAUAGGAAGUGAAGCUCCGAGGUACAGCGGAUAGGUCCGCCCUCGCCCCGCCCACUUUUUUCUGGUCCUUUCCCGGCUACGUUCGACCCAUUUCCUGCUGGCCCCGCCCCUCCCCCUUCUCCAUGUAGCUCCUCCCCCGACAGGCCGCGCCCCCUUCCCUGGCGCGCAGGCGCGGAGGCACGGAGUGAGUCACGCGGCCACUCUCACGUCACUGGAGACUGUGUGGUACGUCACUGGCGGACUUCCGGAGGCGCUGCUCAGGGAGCCUACUCUGAACUCUGAGGUUCUUGUCGCCGGACGUGAAUUCCGUCAGUGUGGAUUCCAUUGUCUCAGGAGAUCUGGUGACCAGUUUCCCUUAGAAUGCUGGGAAAUUCCAGAAGCAUGAGAUGGAAGUCCUGCUGAUGAUUAUCUGAAUGGCCAUAUUGCAGCGUCUUCUUUCCCAAGAGUAAUUGUGCCUGCCAACUGCCGUGCCACCUCACCAUUUGGAGAGCAUUGCAGCAUGUUGUGAGCUAGGUAUUUGACCUAAAUUUCUUUCUUCACUAUAGCCUUACUGAAGAUAGCAUCCUUUCUCUGGUUUCUCUGGAUCAUAGUGCCUCACAUCUGACAGACAUCUAUAGCUAUGUCAAAUAGAAGAGUUAGUGAUGUGCUAGUUUGUCAUACGUGAGUUAUGAAGGAGUUUGAAUUGUUUUGUAAACUACUGGGCUGCUAUAUUUAUUUGUUGAGGUCAUGAAAAUUAAGAAUUAAAAAACAUAUUUGAGCCAAUCAACAAAUAUCAUAUCUUUUUAAAAUAGCUUGUGUAAAGAAGACUUGAAGAGUUUAAACUCGG